rnacentral:lncRNA from 1 species
UACUCUCCCCUCAUGUGGACAGAGCAAUCCACUUUUUUUCCAAGACAGGACUUUGACUUCAAAGCUGUGCACUCACAGGAGGCAGGAGGACAAGAUCAUCCACAAAACAGCCAAAGUCCCAAGCCAGCAUUUGAAAAGUUGCAAAAAUGUCAAGGUGUUUUAGAAGCAGUAUGGAUGUUAAGAUGUUGAUUGGAAGGCUAGUGCAGACCGGGGAAUGACAAGCCUGCUGAAGACAUCUGGGCACCUGGAAAGGAGGUCUGGGAGGCUUUUGUUGGAGCUCAACUGCUCACAUCCUCCUGAACCAAGACAUCAAGGCUGACCCAGGACAGGCUGGAUGGACUGUAUCUCUUGCCUGGCCUGGGUGUGUUCAGGAAUCCCCCUGGAAAAGCAGGACUCUGUUGCUUAGAAUAAAAAUGUUGACCCU